rnacentral:lncRNA from 1 species
UAAGGGGCUGUUUAUAUGAGAGGCGGGACGGGACGUUUGCCGGGACGGGACGAUUUAUAUAUCCCGGGUUGAGAGCUGUUUACAUGAUCCCGCUUUGCCGGGACGAGAUGUGAGGCGGGAUGAUUUUGACGUAUUGAAAUAAGUUACGGUGCACGAUUUAGCAAAAUCACAUAUUUUUUUCUGGUGAUAGAUUACAGUAUAAUUGUAAACGAAAGGUUGUUCAAGCAGUAAUAAUAAUCUUCCUGAACUACGAGAUCUUCUCUAACAACAUUUGAGUUUCUUUAACCGUUG